rnacentral:rRNA from 1 species
GGUUAAGCGACUAAGCGUACACGGUGGAUGCCCUGGCAGUCAGAGGCGAUGAAGGGCGUGCUAAUCUGCGAUAAGCGCCGGUAAGGUGAUAUGAACCGUUAUAACCGGCGAUACCCGAAUGGGGAAACCCAGUGUGAUUCGUCACACUAUCAUUAACUGAAUCCAUAGGUUAAUGAGGCGAACCGGGGGAACUGAAACAUCUAAGUACCCCGAGGAAAAGAAAUCAACCGAGAUUCCCCCAGUAGCGGCGAGCGAACGGGGAGGAGCCCAGAGCCUGAAUCAGCAUGUGUGUUAGUGGAAGCGUCUGGAAAGGCGCGCGAUACAGGGUGACAGCCCCGUACACAAAAGCGCAUGUGCUGUGAGCUCGAUGAGUAGGGCGGGACACGUGGUAUCCUGUCUGAAUAUGGGGGGACCAUCCUCCAAGGCUAAAUACUCCUGACUGACCGAUAGUGAACCAGUACCGUGAGGGAAAGGCGAAAAGAACCCCGGCGAGGGGAGUGAAAAAGAACCUGAAACCGUGUACGUACAAGCAGUGGGAGCACAGGUUUACCUGUGUGACUGCGUACCUUUUGUAUAAUGGGUCAGCGACUUAUAUUCUGUAGCAAGGUUAACCGUAUAGGGGAGCCGGAGGGAAACCGAGUCUUAACCGGGCGUUAAGUUGCAGGGUAUAGACCCGAAACCCGGUGAUCUAGCCAUGGGCAGGUUGAAGGUUGGGUAACACUAACUGGAGGACCGAACCGACUAAUGUUGAAAAAUUAGCGGAUGACCUGUGGCUGGGGGUGAAAGGCCAAUCAAACCGGGAGAUAGCUGGUUCUCCCCGAAAGCUAUUUAGGUAGCGCCUCGUGAAUUCAUCUCCGGGGGUAGAGCACUGUUUCGGCUAGGGGGCCAUCCCGGCUUACCAACCCGAUGCAAACUGCGAAUACCGGAGAAUGUUAUCACGGGAGACACACGGCGGGUGCUAACGUCCGUCGUGAAGAGGGAAACAACCCAGACCGCCAGCUAAGGUCCCAAAGUCAUGGUUAAGUGGGAAACGAUGUGGGAAGGCCCAGACAGCCAGGAUGUUGGCUUAGAAGCAGCCAUCAUUUAAAGAAAGCGUAAUAGCUCACUGGUCGAGUCGGCCUGCGCGGAAGAUGUAACGGGGCUAAACCAUGCACCGAAGCUGCGGCAGCGACACUAUGUGUUGUUGGGUAGGGGAGCGUUCUGUAAGCCUGUGAAGGUGUGUCGUGAGGCAUGCUGGAGGUAUCAGAAGUGCGAAUGCUGACAUAAGUAACGAUAAAGCGGGUGAAAAGCCCGCUCGCCGGAAGACCAAGGGUUCCUGUCCAACGUUAAUCGGGGCAGGGUGAGUCGACCCCUAAGGCGAGGCCGAAAGGCGUAGUCGAUGGGAAACGGGUUAAUAUUCCCGUACUUGGUGUUACUGCGAAGGGGGGACGGAGAAGGCUAUGUUGGCCGGGCGACGGUUGUCCCGGUUUAAGCGUGUAGGUGUGUGUUCCAGGUAAAUCCGGUUCACUUUAACACUGAGGCGUGACGACGAGGCACUACGGUGCUGAAGCAACAAAUGCCCUGCUUCCAGGAAAAGCCUCUAAGCAUCAGGUAACAUCAAAUCGUACCCCAAACCGACACAGGUGGUCAGGUAGAGAAUACCAAGGCGCUUGAGAGAACUCGGGUGAAGGAACUAGGCAAAAUGGUGCCGUAACUUCGGGAGAAGGCACGCUGACACGUAGGUGAAGUGAUUUACUCAUGGAGCUGAAGUCAGUCGAAGAUACCAGCUGGCUGCAACUGUUUAUUAAAAACACAGCACUGUGCAAACACGAAAGUGGACGUAUACGGUGUGACGCCUGCCCGGUGCCGGAAGGUUAAUUGAUGGGGUCAGCGCAAGCGAAGCUCCUGAUCGAAGCCCCGGUAAACGGCGGCCGUAACUAUAACGGUCCUAAGGUAGCGAAAUUCCUUGUCGGGUAAGUUCCGACCUGCACGAAUGGCGUAAUGAUGGCCAGGCUGUCUCCACCCGAGACUCAGUGAAAUUGAACUCGCUGUGAAGAUGCAGUGUACCCGCGGCAAGACGGAAAGACCCCGUGAACCUUUACUAUAGCUUGACACUGAACAUUGAGCCUUGAUGUGUAGGAUAGGUGGGAGGCUUUGAAGUGUGGACGCCAGUCUGCAUGGAGCCGACCUUGAAAUACCACCCUUUAAUGUUUGAUGUUCUAACGUGGACCCGUAAUCCGGGUUGCGGACAGUGUCUGGUGGGUAGUUUGACUGGGGCGGUCUCCUCCUAAAGAGUAACGGAGGAGCACGAAGGUUGGCUAAUCCUGGUCGGACAUCAGGAGGUUAGUGCAAUGGCAUAAGCCAGCUUGACUGCGAGCGUGACGGCGCGAGCAGGUGCGAAAGCAGGUCAUAGUGAUCCGGUGGUUCUGAAUGGAAGGGCCAUCGCUCAACGGAUAAAAGGUACUCCGGGGAUAACAGGCUGAUACCGCCCAAGAGUUCAUAUCGACGGCGGUGUUUGGCACCUCGAUGUCGGCUCAUCACAUCCUGGGGCUGAAGUAGGUCCCAAGGGUAUGGCUGUUCGCCAUUUAAAGUGGUACGCGAGCUGGGUUUAGAACGUCGUGAGACAGUUCGGUCCCUAUCUGCCGUGGGCGCUGGAGAACUGAGGGGGGCUGCUCCUAGUACGAGAGGACCGGAGUGGACGCAUCACUGGUGUUCGGGUUGUCAUGCCAAUGGCACUGCCCGGUAGCUAAAUGCGGAAGAGAUAAGUGCUGAAAGCAUCUAAGCACGAAACUUGCCCCGAGAUGAGUUCUCCCUGAGACUUAGAGUCUCCUGAAGGAACGUUGAAGACGACGACGUUGAUAGGCCGGGUGUGUAAGCGCAGCGAUGCGUUGAGCUAACCGGUACUAAUGAACCGUGAGGCUUAACCUU